GAUGAACGCUGGCGGCGUGCCUAAUACAUGCGAGUCGAGCGAACGGACGAGAAUCUUGCUUCUCUGAUGUUAGCGGCGGACGGGUGAGUAACACGUGGAUAACCUACCUAUAAGACUGGGAUAACUUCGGGAAACCGUAGCUAACACCGGAUAAUAUUUUGAACCGCAUGGUUCAAAAGUGAAAGACGGUCUUGCUGUCACUUAUAGAUGGAUCCGCGCUGCAUUAGCUAGUUGGUAAGGUAACGGCUUACCAAGGCAACGAUGCAUAGCCGACCUGAGAGGGUGAUCGGCCACACUGGAACUGAGACACGGUCCAGACUCCUACGGGAGGCAGCAGUAGGGAAUCUUCCGCAAUGGGCGAAAGCCUGACGGAGCAACGCCGCGUGAGUGAUGAAGGUCUUCGGAUCGUAAAACUCUGUUAUUAGGGAAGAACAUAUGUGUAAGUAACUGUGCACAUCUUGACGGUACCUAAUCAGAAAGCCACGGCUAACUACGUG
rnacentral:rRNA from 1 species